CAAGCACGGACCGUGCCAUUGCAGCGCUGUGCCUCCUGUCAGGAGGGUACGAAAAGCCCAGGGAAAAAGCAAAAACUGUGUAGGAGAAACUUACUGAAAGCAAAUUG
rnacentral:lncRNA from 1 species